UUGGGCGGACCGGGCGCACGGGUGAGUAACGCGUAUGCAACCUACCUAUCGAGGAGGGGGAGCCCGGCGAAAGUCGGAUUAAUACCCCAUGAAACAGGGGUCCCGCAUGGGAAUAUUUGUUAAAGAUUCAUCGCUGAUAGAUAGGCAUGCGUUCCAUUAGGCAGUUGGCGGGGUAACGGCCCACCAAACCGACGAUGGAUAGGGGUUCUGAGAGGAAGGUCCCCCACAUUGGUACUGAGACACGGACCAA
rnacentral:rRNA from 1 species